UUAUUUAUUAAAAUAGUUUUAUUUAAAUAUAAUGUUAUAUCUUGUCCACUAAUUUUUCUUAAUUUGUUUAUUUGACAUCCACAUGUUUUAAUUAGUGGUCCUUAUCUUACCACAUCCCACUUGUUUAUUUUAUUAAUUUAGCCAAAUACCUCCUCUUUAACUUAGCUUAACUAUUAAGCUAUUUUCAUUCUCUCUCUCAUCCAUUUCCACUUCCUCAUUAAGACAUUCUCUCUCUAAUCUCCUAAAUUAUCAUCUUCUUUCCUUCUACUCCCCACGGUUCCUUCAAAGAAAAUUUCAAGUUUGUUUCAAGUAUCCAAAUCAAGAAGGAGAAAUAAGGUUGUACCAACAACAUCACCAAAUCAAGGUCCGGGCGACAAAAAGUGAAGCCGAAGAAGAAACGACUCCACGCCAGCUUUAAGAACGUUUAAGGUUGAGCAGGCGAUGGAAUGGAUUGGUGUUGAGCGGAUUCUCUUUUAAUGAUUAAGUAAUGAAACCUUGAGUAUGUAUCUUCAUAUGCAUAACUCACACGUAUUUCCGCUGCAACCCUCUGAUUUUUAUUAUCGCUUCUAUAAGAACUUAAUACUAUUUUAUUUCGGAUGAUGUCACAUGGGUCUAGUAUUUUAAUAUGAACGUUUGUAAUUACCC